AAACUUUAGAGUUUGAUCCUGGCUCAGAACGAACGCUGUCGGCAGGCUUAACACAUGCAAGUCGAACGCACCUUCGGGUGAGUGGCAGACGGGUGA
rnacentral:rRNA from 1 species